AGCAAUUGCUACUGAACCUAAGCCGUCGGAGUCAAAGGCAACCGGCAUUCCUAAACCAGUCAAUGGUUCUUCUACAAGAAUACAGGAUGUAUCACAAGAGAUCAAGAGAGUGAGGGCGCAAAUGGAAGAAAAUGAAGACUUAGCUAUACUCAUGAGGGGGCUUCGAGGUCAAAACCUGAGGGAUUCAUUGUUUGCUGAUGAUAACAUUAAGCUUCGUCUAGUAGAGGUUGAUGAGAGCAGUGAGUUCUUGCCCUUAGUUUAUGAUCCUGCUAGCAUUUCUGCAUAUUGGGGUAAACGACCGCGUGCUGUUGCAACCCGUAUAGUCCAGCUAACAUCUGUUGCUGGAGGUUUUCUUUCACGUCUUGCCUGGGACUUGAUAAAUAAAAAGGUUAAAGAGAAUGAGGUUGCUCGAGCAAUUGAGUUGAGGGAGAUUGUAACAUCACUGGGUCCAGCAUACAUAAAGCUAGGGCAAGCUUUAAGCAUCCGGCCAGAUAUACUAUCACCUGCUGCGAUGGUUGAGCUGCAGAAGCUUUG
rnacentral:misc_RNA from 1 species